GACGGGGGAUGCAAGUGAUAUCCGGAAUCACUGGGCGUAAAGUGUCUGUAGGUGGUGAUGCAAGUCACUGGUGCAAAACUCUGGCUCAACCGGAGGAAAGCCAGUGAAACUGCAUGACUAGAGUGUGGGAGAGGUAGAAGGAAUUCCCUGAGUAGCGGUGAAAUGCGUAGAUACAGGGAAGAACACCGGAGGCGAAAGCGUUCUACUGGAACACAACUGACACUGAGAGACGAAAGCUAGGGGAGCGAAUGGG
rnacentral:rRNA from 1 species